rnacentral:tRNA from 5 species
CAGGAGGUAGUUUAAUUAGAAUAUCAGCUUUGGGUGUUGAUGGUAGGGCAUAAGCCUUUCUCUUGA